rnacentral:rRNA from 1 species
GAUGAACGCUGGCGGCGUGCCUAAUACAUGCAAGUAGAGCGCUGAAGGAGGAGCUUGCUCUUCUGGAUGAGUUGCGAACGGGUGAGUAACGCGUAGGUAACCUGCCUGGUAGCGGGGGAUAACUAUUGGAAACGAUAGCUAAUACCGCAUGACAACAGUUAUUGCAUGAUAACUGUUUAAAAGGGGCAACUGCUCCACUACCAGAUGGACCUGCGUUGUAUUAGCUAGUUGGUGAGGUAACGGCUCACCAAGGCGACGAUACAUAGCCGACCUGAGAGGGUGAUCGGCCACACUGGGACUGAGACACGGCCCAGACUCCUACGGGAGGCAGCAGUAGGGAAUCUUCGGCAAUGGACGGAAGUCUGACCGAGCAACGCCGCGUGAGUGAAGAAGGUUGUCGGAUCGUAAAGCUCUGUUGUAAGAGAAGAACGAGUGUGAGAGUGGAAAGUUCACACUGUGACGGUAUCUUACCAGAAAGGGACGGCUAACUACGUG